UCUCUGAGAACAAGACAUUGAAUGGUGAAGUCAGAACAGAAUGUGUUUUCUACACAAACGGCGACGAAAUCGAUUCACUUAUCCCAGACCUCGCCGGCAAACAUGGCGGCCAUUACACCCUUCAGAUGCUGAAGGACCUUCAUUAAACCAACAGAAAGAUAUGGACGUCACAGAUGUAUAAUCCCUCCUGAAUUCCCAGAAGAUUGUGACCCUAUCCGCCACCAUCAGAAGCUUAAUGAGGACAGUUACAGUACUUGCUGACUUAAUUUGGGCAUAUAUGUUUAAUAUAUGAUAUGAUACUUAUAUAUAUUUGCCCGAAUAUUUUUGACACAUGCACAUCAUCACAUGUUCAUAUUCAAUUCUUUCUUCUUUACAAAAGUCCCAGAGACAACAAAUGAAAUGAUUGAACUUCAAUACUCCAUCUAGUUUCGAAUUUAAACAUUAUGUUUAUUAAGCCCAAAAACCUCUUUUGAUUUAUGAACAGAUGAAAAUGUAUAACUGUAAGGGAUUAUCCCAUUUAUAUUAUUUUAUGAUGCGUUUGUAUAUAUAUUAUUCUAUGAAGCAAAUUUGAAUAAAUUUAAAUUAUCGAAAGUUUGUAUCCCAUUUAGUAAUAGUUAACAAAUUUUUAAAUAUUUUAAUUUACAUGCAAAAGACUUCAUCAGUAAUAAUUAUCUUCAAGUUACUUCAUUACUUUUUAGAUUAUCACUUUGUCAGUGUGUAUAUCUGUCUAUAUUAUAUAGGUUCUAAUUUAUUUAACUUAUGAUUAUUUGAAUUUGUACUGUUUCAACUAGAAAUCAGUAAAUGUAUCACAAUAAAAUAUUGUUUGCAAAAAUCUUGACUAGUUAUUUUCUGAAAAAGUUAGCAGGGAUAGUAGGAAUUUAAUCCCAGUAAGGAUAGAUAUUUUUUAGGCAUACCUUAAAUGUACCUCGUAUCAAGGCACAUUUCAGGUAUACCUCAGUCAGAGGUACGAUUUAGGCACAUUUUAGGUAUACGUACCUCAGUCAGAGGUACGAUU